GCGGCAAAAGCUCAAAUUUGAAAUCUGGUACCUUCGGUGCCCGAGUUGUAAUUUGGAGAGGGCAACUUUGGGGCCGUUCCUUGUCUAUGUUCCUUGGAACAGGACGUCAUAGAGGGUGAGAAUCCCGUGUGGCGAGGAGUGCGGUUCUUUGUAAAGUGCCUUCGAAGAGUCGAGUUGUUUGGGAAUGCAGCUCUAAGUGGGUGGUAAAUUCCAUCUAAAGCUAAAUAUUGGCGAGAGACCGAUAGCGAACAAGUACAGUGAUGGAAAGAUGAAAAGAACUUUGAAAAGAGAGUGAAAAAGUACGUGAAAUUGUUGAAAGGGAAGGGCAUUUGAUCAGACAUGGUGUUUUGUGCCCUCUGCUCCUUGUGGGUAGGGGAAUCUCGCAUUUCACUGGGCCAGCAUCAGUUUUGGUGGCAGGAUAAAUCCAUAAGAAUGUAGCUUGCCUCGGUAAGUAUUAAAGC
rnacentral:rRNA from 1 species